GACGAACGCUGGCGGUGUGCUUCACACAUGCAAGUCGAACGGAGUAGCAAUACUCAGUGGCGGACGGGUGAGUAACACGUGGGAAUCUACCAUUAGAUGGGGAAUAACAGGCCGAAAGGACUGCUAAUGCCGCAUAUGUAUGUGCCUCGACAGGGGCGUAUAUGAAAGGAGUAAUCCGGUCUGAUGAUGAGCCCGCGUCCGAUUAGGCUAGUUGGUAAGGUAAAAGCUUACCAAGGCGACGAUCGGUAGGUGGUCUGAGAGGAUGAUCACCACAAUGGGAUUGAGACACGGCCCAUACUCCUACGGAGGCAGCAGUGGGGAAUUUUACGCAAUGGGGGGAAACCCUGACGUAGCGACACCGCGUGAGCGAAGAAGCCCUUUGGGGUGUAAAGCUCUGUCAACAGGAACGAAAAAAAUAGACGGU
rnacentral:rRNA from 1 species